GACGAACGCUGGCGGCGUGCUUAACACAUGCAAGUCGAACGGAAAGGCCCUGCUUUUGUGGGGUGCUCGAGUGGCGAACGGGUGAGUAACACGUGAGUAACCUGCCCUUGACUUUGGGAUAACUUCAGGAAACUGGGGCUAAUACCGGAUAGGAGCUCCUGCUGCAUGGUGGGGGUUGGAAAGUUUCGGCGGUGGGGGAUGGACUGGCGGCUUAUCAGCUUGUUGGUGGGGUAGUGGCUUACCAAGGUUUUGACGGGUAGCCGGCCUGAGAGGGUGACCGGCCACAUUGGGACUGAGAUACGGCCCAGACUCCUACGGGAGGCAGCAGUGGGGAGUAUUGCACAAUGGGCGGAAGCCUGAUGCGACAGCGCCGCGUGCGGGAUAACGGCCUUCGGGUUGUAAACCGCUUUCGCCUGUGACGAAGCGUGAGUGACGGUAAUGGGUAAAGAAGCACCGGCUAACUACGUG
rnacentral:rRNA from 1 species